UAAAAAGUGUAAAACCCAUUUUAUCUACCUAUGCAAACUUGAAUUUGAUUUUUUUUCCAUAAAUUGGUAAUUGGUCAAGCUCUGCUUCCGUGUUGCUCUUGUAUUGCUUUUUCUUUCUACAUUUUUUUUUGUCUGAUUUAUCAUAAUCUCAUGGAGAGUUCGAUCUUGGCUCAAGAUGAACGCUGGCGGCAUGCUUAACACAUGCAAGUCGGAGGGGAAGUGGUGUUUCCAAUGGCAGACGGGUGAGUAACGCAUAAGAACUUGCCCUUGAGAGGGGAACAACAGCUAGAAACGACUGCUAAUACCUAGUAGGCUGAGGAGCAAAAGGAGAAAUACACCCGAGGAGGGGCUCGCGUUUGAUUAGCUAGUUGGUGAGGCAAUAGCUUACCAAGGCGAUGAUCAGUAGUUGGUCCGAGAGGAUGAUCAGCCACACUGGGACUGAGACAAGGCCCAGACUCUUACGGGAUGCAGCAGUGGGGAAUUUUUCGCAAUGGGCGAAAGCCUGACAGAGCAAUGCCGCGUGGAGGUAGAAGGCCUACGGGUCGUGAACUUCUUUUCCGGAGAAUAAGCAAUGACGGUAUCUAGGGAAUAAGCAUCGGCUAACUCUGUGUCAGCAGCUGCGGUAAUACAGAAGAUGCAAACGUUAUCCGGAAUGAUUGGGCGUAAAGAUUCUGUAGGUGGCUUUUUAAGUCUGCCGUCAAAUCCCAGGGCUCAACCCUGGACAGGCGGUGGAAACUACCAAGCUGGAGUAUGGUAGGGGCAGAGGGAAUUUCCGAUGGAGCGGUGAAAUGCGUAGAGAUCGGAAAGAACACCAACGGUGAAAGCACUCUGCUGGGCCGACACUGACACUGAGAGACGAAAGUUAGGGGAGCGAAUGGGAUUAGAUACCCUAGUAGUCCUAGCCUAAACGAUGGAUACUAGGCACUGUGCGUAUCGACCCAUGCGGUGUUGUAGCUAACGCGUUAAGUAUCCCGCCUGGGGAGUACGUUCGCAAGAAUGAAACUCAAAGGGAUUGAGGGGGCCCGCACAAGUAGUGGAGUAUGUGGUUUAAUUCAAUGCAAAGCGAAGAACCUUACCAGGGCUUGACAUGCCAGGAAUCCUCUUGAAAGAGAGGGGUGCCUUCGGGAACGCGGACACAGGUGGUGCAUGGCUAUCGUCAGCUCAUGCCGUAAGGUGUUGGGUUAAGUCCCGCAACGAGCGCAACCUUCGUAUUUAGUUGCCACCGUUGAGUUUGGAACCCUGAGCAGACUGCCGGUGAUAAGCCGGAGGAAGGUGAGGAUGACUUUGCAAUUGUGGUUUGAUAUAUUAGAUGAGUAAUAUGUAUGCUAUAUGUGUGUGAUGUGUUUGGAAUAUGCUUAAGGAUUAAAGUAAUGUUAUGUAAAGCUCAUGUUUAUUCAUUUGGUAAGUUUGAUA
rfam:Gossypium arboreum cultivar AKA8401 contig_22339_1, whole genome shotgun sequence.